UUGAGUUUUGCUAUGACCAUCAACAAAGCCCAAGGGCAAACCAUUCCAACUGUUGGUAUUUACCUCCCUGAACCUGUAUUCUCGCAUGGCCAGCUUUAUGUUGCACUGUCGAGGGGUGUGUCAAGGCAGACCACUCGGAUUUUGGCCAAGCCAAAUAAUGACAUAGAUCCCACUGGAAAAAGCACGAAGAAUAUUGUGUACAGGGAUGUCUUGGAGGGAUGAAACAGCACCGCUAUGUUGCCAGGUUUUGAAAUAGGAUCUUCCCAUAUACAUUUGAUUAUAUGUAUAGGUCUAUACAGCUUGAGAACGGGGCUGAUACUUGCCUUGGUGGUUUAGCUUUUUUCUCAGUCUUGUUGUUCGCUGCUGUGUUUUUCCAUCAAUGAAACUUGGCUGGAAAAUAAUAAUUAGAACAUUGGAUUUUAUAGAAAUUUCUUACUUAUUGUUCCACUUCAA